UCAUUAUCACGAAUCAAGCCCGGCUUGCUGUUGGACCUUUGUCGCUAGAAGACAGGUUCUAAAGAUAAUGAGGCGUCAGUCGGACCCUAGAUGCAACGAGCUUUAACUAGCAUGCGUCUCAGUUGGUCCUUUUGACCGGUCUUUUUUAACCAACUUAUCAGGUUGACCUCGGAUCAGGUAGGAAUACCCGCUGAACUUAA
rnacentral:misc_RNA from 1 species